rnacentral:tRNA from 1 species
UCCCUGGUGGCUCAGAUGGUAAAGCGUCUGCCUACAGUGCACAAGACCUGGGUUCAAUCCCUGGGUUGGGAA